rnacentral:lncRNA from 1 species
CUCGUGUCCGUGGUGCCGUUACUCGCAGUCGGGCGGCGGCUGAGGCUCAGCGCACAACGCAGGUAGCGCGUUAGCAGCAGCAGCGGAGGCAUCUCGGCGGUCACAGCCCCUGCGCUGGUGCAGCCACCCUCGCCUGCUCCGCUCUUCCUUCCUUCGCUCGCACCAUGGUAGGUUGGGAUCGGCAGUGGCAGACGUAGCAGCUGCCCAAGCUUUCUGAACAGAUUUGUAGUUGAGUCUUGGGGCUCCCCCUUUUCCUGGCUGAGGUUACCCCCCCACCCAUUUUUGCCAGGUGUUACGCAGCAGCAGCGGGGAAAGGGGAUGUAUUUCGGGUUUGCAUCUCCGCCUUGGCUGCCAGGGAACCUCCUCUGAGUUUUGGACGCCUCUAGGGCUGGACUCUACAGUGGGCUGUGCGCGGGCUGGAGCCGCUGCCACAGCUGCACCGGGGCCUUCCGCAUCCACCCCCUCCGUCAGCCCCGCACCCACUGCAUCCAGCGCGCCGCACCCGGGCUGCCUGCAGCGCAGCGCCUCGGCCCGGGCCAGCAGGGCGGGGGAGCCGGGCGGGGCAGGCCGCGACGUCCCGGUAGCCAGUCCCUGAUCGCGGAGAAUGAAUGGGUCGAGGCGAGCCGGUGGCGUACAGGACUUGGACCGCGAACUCCCGCGUGUCCUCAGCCACCUUCAGACCCCCUGACCAACCCAGUCGGGCGUCCUUCCUCCCGGGGGGCGCGGCGCGGGCGUGAGCUGGGAAGGAAGGAGCCGGGGAAGGGUGGGGUUGGGGGCAGGAAGGCGAAGGCUGGGGGGCGGAGAGGGCGGAAGCGGCCG